AUUGAACGCUGGCGGCAUGCCUUACACAUGCAAGUCGAACGGUAACGCGGGGCAACCUGGCGACGAGUGGCGAACGGGUGAGUAAUGCAUCGGAACGUGCCCAGUUGUGGGGGAUAACUGCUCGAAAGAGCAGCUAAUACCGCAUACGACCUGAGGGUGAAAGCGGGGGAUCGCAAGACCUCGCGCAAUUGGAGCGGCCGAUGUCGGAUUAGCUAGUUGGUGGGGUAAAGGCCCACCAAGGCGACGAUCCGUAGCUGGUCUGAGAGGACGACCAGCCACACUGGGACUGAGACACGGCCCAGACUCCUACGGGAGGCAGCAGUGGGGAAUUUUGGACAAUGGACGCAAGUCUGAUCCAGCCAUGCCGCGUGCGGGAAGAAGGCCUUCGGGUUGUAAACCGCUUUUGUCAGGGAAGAAAUCUUCUGGGUUAAUACCUCGGGAGGAUGACGGUGCCUGAAGAAUAAGCACCGGCUAACUACGUGCCAGCCGCCGCGGUAAGAC
rnacentral:rRNA from 1 species